CGGCUUAAGAUCAUUAUGCCAGCAUCCUAGUCAAAGACGCAGUCCUCAGUCUAGACAGGCAGUAUCGACGCAGGCUAUAAUACACCCCCGAAGCGGUGCUACUUUCCUACGCAAUUAUCCUGCCGUCCAAACUGAUGCUGGCCCGGAAAGCUCCAUUACUGGAAAAUUCCAAGUCUGAUCUCAAGCCCUUCCCUUUCAACAAUUUCACGUACUUUUUCACUCUCUUUUCAAAGUUCUUUUCAUCUUUCCUUCACAGUACUUGUUCGCUAUCGGUCUCUCGCCAAUAUUUAGCUUUAGAUGGAAUUUACCACCCACUUAGAGCUGCAUUCCCAAACAACUCGACUCGUCGAAGGAACUUUACAUGGAAUUGGGCAUCUCAUCGCACGGGAUUCUCACCCUCUGUGACGUCCUGUUCCAAGGAACAUAGACAAGAGCCAAAACCAAAGAUACCUUCUUCAAAUUACAACUCGGACACCGAAGGCGCCAGAUUUCAAAUUUGAGCUAUUGCCGCUUCACUCGCCGCUACUAAGGCAAUCCCUGUUGGUUUCUUUUCCUCCGCU
rnacentral:rRNA from 1 species